rnacentral:rRNA from 1 species
AGUGAACGCUGGCGGUAGGCCUAACACAUGCAAGUCGAACGAGUGGCGGACGGGUGAGGAAUACAUGGGAAUCUACUCUGUCGUGGGGGAUAACGUAGGGAAACUUACGCUAAUACCGCAUACCAUCGAAUGUGCCGAUGUCGGAUUAGAUAGUUGGGGGGGUAAAGGCACACCAAGGCGACGAUCCGUAGCUGGUCUGAGAGGAUGAUCGGCCACACUGGAACUGAGACACGGUCCGGACUCCGACGGGAGGCAGCAGUGGGGAAUAUUGGACAAUGGGCGCAAGCCUGAUGCAGCCAUGCCGCGUGGGUGAAGAAGGCCUUCGAGUUGUAAGGCACUUUUGUUGAGAAAGCGGUACCCAAAGAGUAAGCACCGGCUAACUUCGUGCCAGCCGCCGCGGUAAUUC